GCCGGAGUAGCUCAGUGGUAGAGCAUUCGCCUCGUAAGCGAAAGGCCAGGGGUUCGACUCCCCUCUCCGGCUCCG
rnacentral:tRNA from 1 species